AAUGAACGCUGGCGGCAGGCCUAACACAUGCAAGUCGAACGGGUCCUUCGGGACUAGUGGCGGACGGGUGAGUAACGCGUGGGAACGUGCCCUUUGCUACGGAAUAGCCCCGGGAAACUGGGAGUAAUACCGUAUAAGCCCUACGGGGGAAAGAUUUAUCGGCAAAGGAUCGGCCCGCGUUGGAUUAGGUAGUUGGUGGGGUAAUGGCCUACCAAGCCGACGAUCCAUAGCUGGUUUGAGAGGAUGAUCAGCCACACUGGGACUGAGACACGGCCCAGACUCCUACGGGAGGCAGCAGUGGGGAAUCUUAGACAAUGGGGGAAACCCUGAUCUAGCCAUGCCGCGUGAUCGAUGAAGGCCUUAGGGUUGUAAAGAUCUUUCAGGUGGGAAGAUAAUGACUGUACCACCAGAAGAAGCCCCGGCUAACUCCGUGCCAGCCGCCGCCGUAACAC
rnacentral:rRNA from 1 species